UGCGUAGGCGGUUAGUUAAGUCUGUUGUGAAAUCCCCGGGCUCAACCUGGGAAUGGCAAUGGAAACUGGCUAGCUAGAGUGUGUCAGAGGAUGGUGGAAUUUCCGGUGUAGCGGUGAAAUGCGUAGAGAUCGGAAGGAACAUCAGUGGCGAAGGCAACUACCUGGGCCAACACUGACGCUGAGGUACGAAAGCGUGGGGAAGCAAACA
rnacentral:rRNA from 1 species